GAUGAACGCUGGCGGCGUGCCUAAUACAUGCAAGUCGAACGCUUUGUCUUUAAUUGCUAUGAGGAGCUUGCUCUGAUUUGAUUUUAUCUGACAAAGAGUGGCGAACGGGUGAGUAACACGUGGGUAACCUACCUCUUAGCAGGGGAUAACAUUUGGAAACAAGUGCUAAUACCGUAUAACACUAACAACCGCAUGGUUGUUAGUUGAAAGAUGGUUCUGCUAUCACUAAGAGAUGGACCCGCGGUGCAUUAGCUAGUUGGUAAGGUAAUGGCUUACCAAGGCGAUGAUGCGUAGCCGAGUUGAGAGACUGAUCGGCCACAAUGGGACUGAGACACGGCCCAUACUCCUACGGGAGGCAGCAGUAGGGAAUCUUCCACAAUGGGCGCAAGCCUGAUGGAGCAACGCCGCGUGUGUGAUGAAGGGUUUCGGCUCGUAAAACACUGUUAUAAGAGAAGAACGACAUUGAGAGUAACUGUUCAGUGUGUGACGGUAUCUUAUCAGAAAGGAACGGCUAAAUACGUG
rnacentral:rRNA from 1 species